rnacentral:lncRNA from 1 species
CUGCUCCAGCCCGCUGCUGGUCCUCCUCCUGGUCCUGGCUGCCGGCUUCUGGCUGGUCCAACUGCUUCGCUCAGUCUGCAACCUCUUCAGCUACUGGGACAUCCAGGUGUUUUACAGGGAGGCCCUGCACAUCCCCCCGGAGGAGCUGAGCUCGGUUCCCUGGGCAGAGGUGCAGUCCCGCCUCCUGGCACUGCAGCGGAGCGGGGGCCUGUGCGUGCAGCCGCGGCCCCUGACGGAGCUGGACAUCCACCACCGCAUCCUGCGCUACACCAACUACCAGGUGGCGCUGGCCAACAAAGGCCUGCUGCCGGCCCGCUGCCCGCUGCCCU